AUGCUCACUUCAGCAGCACAUAUACUAAAACUGGAAUAACACAGAAAAGACUGACUGCUGAGCAAAAAUGACACAAAUUUGUGAGGUGUUCCAUACUUUU
ensembl:snRNA U6 U6 spliceosomal RNA